rnacentral:lncRNA from 1 species
AAUUUAGAAACUAGGUUCAAGAUAUUUUUUUCUUUUUGUUGAAAUUUUUAGGAAUUUAAUAUAACCAGGAACCUGAUGCAGUGUCCCAAUCAUAGGAACUUUAAUCUCAAUUUAUUGAAGAUUUCCAUGAAAUGCUCAAACUGUUUUCCUUUUUCUUCCUAUGAUCCUUCUCUGGGUGAGGAAGGGGUUUUUGAUAUGAUUCUUUCUUUUUGCUUUCAUCCUUCCCCUUUCUCUUUUUCUCCUUAGGACACAAAGGACUUUUCUCAAAUUUUUUCUUUUCUCUCUCAACCCCUUCUUUUUCUUCCUCUACAUCCUUCUCUUUUUCACUCAAACAUUAUUUUUCUUCUCUCUCUAUUUUUCUCUCAUCCUCUUUCUUUCCUUCCCUCUCUUUGUCCUUUUCUUUCCCUAAUUUUCUUUCUUUUCUACCUCUUUCUUUUUCUCACUCAAACUUUCUAUUUUUAUCUCAUCUUCUUUUUCUUCUUCUUCUUGCUCUUUAUCACUCAAACUCUCUUCUUCUUUUCUCUCUAUUUUUUUCUCAUCCUCUCUUUUUUUCUUCUUUUUCUCUUUCCUCAUUUGGGGCUUUUUCACUUUCAAUGACAACAUCUUUGCAAUGCUUUCGAGGCCCCU